CCUUAAUAUACUAGGCAAAACAAAAUACAGAACAAAGUUUAUAUACUCUCUACAGAAUUUGAUAUUUCAUCAUUUCGCAUUCAUAUAUAAGAGAUUUGUAGUAAUGGAUGAUCUUCUGUAUAAUGAGGUGCUGGAAGACUUAGAAGAAAUUUUUGCAGAACCCCAUUGAGGUGUUUUAAGAGAUCCUCUAAUACAACUCAGUGAUUACAAAUUUAAAAAAAUAUUUCGGCUACCCAAAGAAAGUUUCAGAUAUGUUUUGACACAAUAAGAAAAUAUUUGGACGAACCUCUUCAAAUUAUAGUACUUCAGUAACAAACUUCCAUUGAAAAAUGAAAAAAAUCUGUCACUAUAUGGUUGGUCAUUAAGCCACACACUUUUUACUUAAAAGUAAAGUGCUGGUUGCAAAAAAUCUAAGGAAUCUAAAUCUAUGAAAUUUAUCGUUUUACUAACCCAAAAUAACGUACUUACCAUAGAAGCAAUUUGGGGCCUAACUACAAAUUUCGAUUUAGUCAAAGUAUUUAAAUUUCUGGCAAUAAAAGUUUUGGAAUGGUAUUGAGAACGAAUUUCCAGAAGAAGGCUUUGCAUGCUGUUAUUCCGUUUGCCAGUUCUUACCUUUGCGAGUGUGGUUUUUCUGCUGUUACAGUGAUGAAAUCCAAGUAUAGAGCAAAGUUUAACAUCGAAAAAUAAAUUCGAGUGACUAUCAAAAUUUACUCCCAGAUACAUUGAGCAAGACAAACAAGCACAUUCCUCCCAUUGAAACAAAAACUUAUGGACUUUGUUAAUUUCUGUAUAAUUUUUUGCAAGUUGGCACUUCAUUUAUGUUCAGUUAUAUUUUAGAAUUUUUUGAAAAAAAAGUGUUUUCCUAAUGUUUGUUUCAAGUAGAUUUUUUGGAAGUAAAUCAUGUAUUAUUACAA